rnacentral:rRNA from 1 species
AUGCAGUCGAGGGGCAUCGGGAAGAAAGCUUGCUUUCUUUGCCGGCGACCGGCGCACGGGUGAGUAACACGUAUCCAACCUGCCCUUUACUCGGGGAUAGCCUUUCGAAAGAAAGAUUAAUACCCGAUGGCAUAAUGAUUCCGCAUGGUUUCAUUAUUAAAGGAUUCCGGUAAAGGAUGGGGAUGCGUUCCAUUAGGUUGUUGGUGAGGUAACGGCCCACCAAGCCUUCGAUGGAUAGGGGUUCUGAGAGGAAGGUCCCCCACAUUGGAACUGAGACACGGUCCAAACUCCUACGGGAGGCAGCAGUGAGGAAUAUUGGUCAAUGGGCGCUAGCCUGAACCAGCCAAGUAGCGUGAAGGAUGAAGGCUCUAUGGGUCGUAAACUUCUUUUAUAUAAGAAUAAAGUGCAGUAUGUAUACUGUUUUGUAUGUAUUAUAUGAAUAAGGAUCGGCUAACUCCGUGCCAGCAGCCGCGGUAAUACGGAGGAUCCGAGCGUUAUCCGGAUUUAUUGGGUUUAAAGGGAGCGUAGGUGGACUGGUAAGUCAGUUGUGAAAGUUUGCGGCUCAACCGUAAAAUUGCAGUUGAUACUGUCAGUCUUGAGUACAGUAGAGGUGGGCGGAAUUCGUGGUGUAGCGGUGAAAUGCUUAGAUAUCACGAAGAACUCCGAUUGCGAAGGCAGCUCACUGGACUGCAACUGACACUGAUGCUCGAAAGUGUGGGUAUCAAACAGGAUUAGAUACCCUGGUAGUCCACACAGUAAACGAUGAAUACUCGCUGUUUGCGAUAUACAGUAAGCGGCCAAGCGAAAGCAUUAAGUAUUCCACCUGGGGAGUACGCCGGCAACGGUGAAACUCAAAGGAAUUGACGGGGGCCCGCACAAGCGGAGGAACAUGUGGUUUAAUUCGAUGAUACGCGAGGAACCUUACCCGGGCUUAAAUUGCAGUGGAAUGAUGUGGAAACAUGUCAGUGAGCAAUCACCGCUGUGAANGUGCUGCAUGGUUGUCGUCAGCUCGUGCCCNGGNGUGUCGGCUUAAUUGCCNNAACGAGCGCAACCCUUAUCUUCGUUACUAACAGGUCAUGCUUAAGACUCUGGAGAGACUGCCUNCUAAAAUUUAGAAAAGGUGGGGGAAAGANAAANUAAACCCNCGCCUUCUUCCCGGG